GGGAAUGUAACUUAGUUGUACAGUGCUUGCCUAGUAUGCAUGAAGCUGUGGGUUCGAUUCCUCAGUUCCA
rfam:Dipodomys ordii contig_20421, whole genome shotgun sequence.